rnacentral:rRNA from 1 species
CCUGGUGACUAGAGCGAUACGGAAACACCUCUUCCCAUUCCGAACAGAGAAGUGAAACGUAUCAGCGCCGACGAUAGUACUUGGGAAACCUUGUAUGAAAAUAGGUCGUUGCCGGGC